rnacentral:tRNA from 1 species
GGGAUGUAAGUUAGUGGUAGAGCCCUUGCUUAGAAUGCAUGAGGCCCUGGGUUCGAUCCCCAGUAAUUUCU